rnacentral:lncRNA from 1 species
UCAAAUUAAUUAAAACCUAACCUACAGCAAUGAAAAGAACCUACCCCCUUAAACCACCCACCUAAAUGACGAGCCGACAUCUCAGAAUUAGAUCCGAGAUGAUCCUUUGCUGCCAUGAAACCACAUCUUCUGACGGUGCGUCGUUUGGAGGUCAAACGGUCAAGUUAUGGUUGAAUUACUCAUUUGCAACUUCUGAGAACUUCGAGUGCCGAAACUGACACUUCACUGCCCAAUUAUUUCACUUCCAGAUUCAGUCCCCCAACUUCUGGUUACUGUAGAGCAAUCCCUGAACAGUUAAGUAUUAUUAGCAGACCAGUCACCCAACUUUCAAAAAACACAACUCAGUCUUCAAACUUACAGAAAAGCAGUUAGAUCACUUUUCUUUCGGAAACUGCAGAUUGAUUACCGUGCUUUCCAGAAUUGCAGUUUGGUUAGUCUUCUUAUCCGGCGAACUAAUCUCCAGAUUCUGGCGACCUCCAAGAAUGUGGGAAAACACGAUUCCCUGUCGCCGAUUGCCUUCCGAUCCUUCCUCUAGCUUCAGGUGACGAUCCGCCAUCAACUGCUCGUCACUUCCUCCAGAUUGGAGCUCCAGCAUUGAUUACCCACAUCCCUGCACGCGCCCCCAAGCCAUCUAGAUCUGAAACCACCGCCGUUGCUCUUCAAUCCCCGCUGGUGACCUGCAGUUUCGGUCGAUGGUUGCCGUAACCAUCUCCUCCUCCGAUCAUGUAGCUCCAUCCUUCAAAUCAUAGCACGAACACCAACUUCGUUUGCGCGAUGGGAUCGAU